UACGGAGGGUGCGAGCGUUGUUCGGAAUCACUGGGCGUAAAGGGCGUGUAGGCGGUCCGCUAAGUCUGAUGUGAAAGCCCGGGGCUCACCCCCGGAAGUGCACUUGAAACUGCCAGGCUAGAGUACUGGAGAGGUUGGUGGAAUUCUCGGUGUAGAGGUGAAAUUCGUAGAUAUCGAGAGGAACACCGGUGGCGAAGGCGGCCAACUGGACAGAUACUGACGCUGAGACUCGAAAGCGUGGGGAGCAAACAGG
rnacentral:rRNA from 1 species